rnacentral:rRNA from 1 species
GGGGGGGGGUGGGGGGGGGGGGGGCGGAUGCGGGGCGAGGGGCAGCGCGGGGAGAGCUGGCUCUUACGGGUGGCGAGUGGCUGACGGGUGGGGAAUACGUCGGAAUCUACUUUUUCGUGGGGGGUAACGUAGGGCAACGUACGCUGAGACCGCAGACGCCCUACGGGUGAAGGCAGGGGCUCUUCGUACCUUGCGCGGUUGAAUGAGCCGAUGUCGGAUUAGCUCGUUGGCGGGGUCCAGGCCCACCACGGCGACGCUCCGUAGAUGGUCUGAGAGGAUGAUCAGCCACACUGGAACUGAGACACGGUCCAGACUCCGAGGGGAGGAAGCAGUGGGGAAUAUUGGAAAAUGGGCGCAAGCAUGAUCCAGCCAUACCGCGUGGGUGAAGAAGGCCUUAGGGUUGUAAAGCCCUUUUGUUGGGAAAGAAAAGCAGCAGGUUAAUACCAAGCUGUUCUGAAGGUACCCAAAGAAUAAGCACCGGCUAACUUCGUG